rnacentral:rRNA from 1 species
UACGUAGGGUGCUAGCGUUAUCCGGAAUCAUUGGGCGUAAAGCGCGUGUAGGCGGUCCGGUAAGUCCGCUGUGAAAGUCGGGGGCUCAACCCUCGGAUGCCGGUGGAUACUGUCGGGCUUGAGUACGGAAGAGGCGAGUGGAAUUCCUGGUGUAGCGGUGAAAUGCGCAGAUAUCAGGAGGAACACCAAUUGCGAAGGCAGCUCGCUGGGACGUUACUGACGCUGAGACGCGAAAGCGUGGGGAGCAAACAGG